rnacentral:rRNA from 1 species
CCUACGGGAGGCAGCAGUGGGGGAUAUUGCACAAUGGGGGGAACCCUGAUGCAGCGACGCCGCGUGGGUGAAGGAGCGUUUCGGCGCGUAAAGCCCUAUCGGUAGGGAAGCAGGAGGACGGUACGUGACUAAGAAGCCCCGGCUAACUACGUGCCAGCAGCCGCGGUAAUACGUGGGGGGCAAGCGUUAUGCGGAUUUACUGGGUGGAAAGGGGGCGCAGACGGCAGUGCAAGCCAGGAGUGAAAGCCCGGGGCCCAACCCCGGGACUGCUCUUGGGACUGCGCGGCUGGAGUGCAGGAGGGGCAGGCGGAAUGCCUGGUGUAGCGGGGAAAUGCGUAGAUAUCAGGAGGAACACCGGUGGCGAAGGCGGCCUGCUGGACUGCGACUGACGUUGAGGCCCGAAAGCGUGGGGAGCAAACAGGAUUAGAUACCCCGGUAGUC